GACGAACGCUGGCGGCGUGCUUAACACAUGCAAGUCGAACGGAAAGGCCCUGCUUUUGUGGGGUGCUCGAGUGGCGAACGGGUGAGUAACACGUGAGUAACCUGCACUUGACUUUGGGAUAACUUCAGGAAACUGGGGCUAAUACCGGAUAGGAGCUCCUGCUGCAUGGUGGGGGUUGGAAAGUUUCGGCGGUUUGGGAUGGACUCGCGGCUUAUCAGCUUGUUGGUGGGGUAGUGGCUUACCAAGGCUUUGACGGGUAGCCGGCCUGAGAGGGUGACCGGGCUCAUUGGGACUGAGAUACGGACCAGACGGCUACGGGAGGCAGCAGGGGGGAAUAUGGCGCAGUGGGCGGAAGCCUGAUGCAGCGACGCCGCGAGCGUGAUAACGGCCUACUGGUUGUAAACCGCUUUCGCCUGUGACGAAGAGUGAGUGACGGUAACGGGUCAAGAAGCACCGGCUAACUACGUG
rnacentral:rRNA from 1 species